rnacentral:misc_RNA from 1 species
UGACCAACUCACCGUAAUGGUGGUCUUGGGGAUGGCUAACUAGCCUCCCUUAAAAUCAGUGGCGGUGCUGUCAAGUUCUAAGCGUAGUAAUUUUCUCGCUACAGGGUCUUGAUGGUGACUUGCCAUAACCCCAACUCUUAAGG